AGAGUUUGAUCCUGGCUCAGGACGAACGCUGGCGGCGUGCCUAAUACAUGCAAGUCGAGCGGACCAAUUAGAAAGCUUGCUUUUUGAUUGGUUAGCGGCGGACGGGUGAGUAACACGUGGGUAACCUGCCCUAUAGACCGGGAUAACUCGCGGAAACGCGUGCUAAUACCGGAUAACACAUCGAAGCGCAUGCUUCGGGGUUGAAAGAUGGUUCUGCUAUCACUAUGGGAUGGGCCCGCGGCGCAUUAGCUAGUUGGUGGGGUAACGGCCUACCAAGGCGACGAUGCGUAGCCGACCUGAGAGGGUGAUCGGCCACACUGGGACUGAGACACGGCCCAGACUCCUACGGGAGGCAGCAGUAGGGAAUCUUCCACAAUGGGCGAAAGCCUGAUGGAGCAACGCCGCGUGAGCGAAGAAGGUCUUCGGAUCGUAAAGCUCUGUUGUAAGGGAAGAACAAGCGCAGC
rnacentral:rRNA from 1 species